GAUGAACGCUAGCGGGAGGCCUAACACAUGCAAGCCGAGCGGUAUAGAAUCUUCGGAUUUUAGAGAGCGGCGUACGGGUGCGGAACACGUGUGCAACCUACCUUUAUCUGGAGGAUAGCCUUUCGAAAGGAAGAUUAAUACUCCAUAAUAUAUUGAUUGGCAUCAAUUAAUAUUGAAAGCUCCGGCGGAUAGAGAUGGGCACGCGCAAGAUUAGUUAGUUGGUGAGGUAACGGCUCACCAAGACGAUGAUCUUUAGGGGGCCUGAGAGGGUGAUCCCCCACACUGGUACUGAGACACGGACCAGACUCCUACGGGAGGCAGCAGUGAGGAAUAUUGGACAAUGGGUGCAAGCCUGAUCCAGCCAUCCCGCGUGAAGGACGACUGCCCUAUGGGUUGUAAACUCUUUUGUAUAGGGAUAAACCUCUCUCGUGAGGAGAGCUGAAGGUACUAUACGAAUAAGCACGGCUAACUCCGUGCCAGCAGCCGCGGUAAU
rnacentral:rRNA from 1 species